rnacentral:lncRNA from 1 species
UUGUGUCACAUAAAAAGCUGAUAUUCAGUCGUGUUUUUUGAUAUUUUUGUUAUUUUGUAAUGAGUACCUUUUUAAAGGUCUAAUGGCUCCCAUCAGGUGUUGUGUGCAGUCGGUUGAAAAAUUCAACGAGUAAACAUACAUUUAAUCCAAAUUAAAUACUCAUAUUUCUAUGUAAAAUGUCACAUUAUUGUAUAAAUAAAUAAUUAAGAAACAAAA